UUCUUGUUCGUUUCCUUUUAGUGCUGCUUGUUGCUGACGUUUCUGCCCAAACGUCAUGAAAUGUGGAGAAGAAAGAACACUCAGAUGUGCCCUGGAGACUUUCCUUUUAUUUUUAAACAGGAGUCUAUGCCCAGGACCACCAGAUAAUUAAGUCCUGUACAAAAGCUUCUGACUAAACAAUGUGCUCUGGCUCAGGACUAUACAGAGAAAAGGCACAGUUUUUAAAUUGAUCGUUCAAAAGGAAACAUAUUUAUGAUAUUUGCUCCAUGAUAUGUAUCUCUCAUCUGUUAGCUCAGGCAGAAUUAAAAUGCUAGACAAUAA
rnacentral:lncRNA from 1 species